GAGAUCAUACUUCACAGAAUCAUUUCUGUAGUAUGUAUUUCAUAGCCUCCUUCGUGUUGGCUCGACGACAACACCGCGAUGACGAGGCGUGGCGUCGUCCCAUGAGCGGGAAGCGGUCUGAAGAAGAUGUUAGGUCUUCUCCAGACUUGAAGACCGUUGGGUCUGCGGGGUUCCUGCGGAUCCAGUGGGCUUGACGCUUGCUGAGCGGU
rnacentral:snoRNA from 1 species